CACUUCUUCCAGGCGGUGACUUCACUCUUAUUGGCGUAGAACCAUUGCUUCGCCUUUCCCAAUAGUGAGAAUGGGAAAGGGCAAAGAUGGAUUGCGUCUGGAGAAACAUUCUUGAUGGUGAAGGUACCACACACCUCCAGGAAGUGUUGGAGAUGGGUGUUGGCGUCCUCAUGCGGCUUCCCACAGAAAGGGUUUGCUUGCACCAUGUUGAUGAGUGUUGGCUUAAGCUCAAAAGUCGCAUCUCCCAAGUUAAGCUGCGGACUCAUGGUGACGUAAUCAGCCAAUCAUGCAGAGUACUCAG
rnacentral:lncRNA from 1 species